rnacentral:tRNA from 1 species
GGAGAGAUGGCUCAGUGGUUAAGAGCACUGACUGUUCUUCCAGAGGUCCUGAGUUCAAUUCCCAGCUACCACA